GAUGAACGCUGGCGGCGUGCCUAAUACAUGCAAGUCGAGCGAACGGACGAGAAUCUUUCUUCUCGGAUGUUAGCGGCGGACGGGUGAGUAAAACGUGGAUAACCUACCUAUAAGACUGGGAUAACUUCGGGAAACCGGAGCUAAUACCGGAUAAUAUUUUGAACCGCAUUGUUCAUAAGUGUAAGACGGUCUUGCUGUCACUUAUAGAUGGAUCCGAGCUGCAUUAGCUAGUUGUUAAGGUAACGGCUUACCAAGGCAACGAUGCAUAGCAGACCUGCGAGGGUAAUCGGCGAAACUGGAACGGGGACGCGGUCCGGCACCCUACGGGAGGCAGCAGUAGCGGAUUCCCAGGAAUGGGCGAAAGCCUGACGGAGCAACGCCGCGUGAGUGACGAAGGUAUUCGGAUCGUAAAACUCUGUUAUUAGGGAAGAACAAAUGUGUAAGUAACUGUGAACAUAUUGACGGUACCAAAUGAAAAAGCCACGGCUAACUACGUG
rnacentral:rRNA from 1 species